AGAAAAUCAAUAGGACUGUGGAUUA
rnacentral:piRNA from 1 species